rnacentral:pre_miRNA from 1 species
UUGAGCAAGAUGGAGAAGCAGGGCACGUGCAUUACUAACUCCGGCCAACGAAAACAGCCGGCCAGUUGAUCAGACAUACAUCAUAAAACAUAGUACUGAUCAGUUUGGCUGAAUGAGUUAGUGGUUCAUGUGCCCAUCUUCACCAUCAUGACCAC